rnacentral:rRNA from 1 species
ACGGAAGGCAGCAGUGGGGGAUAUUGCACAAUGGGGGAAACCCUGAUGCAGCGACGCCGCGUGAGUGAAGAAGUAUUUCGGUAUGUAAAGCUCUAUCAGCAGGAAAGAUAAUGACGGUACCUGACUAAGAAGCACCGGCUAAAUACGUGCCAGCAGCCGCGGUAAUACGUAUGGUGCAAGCGUUAUCCGGAUUUACUGGGUGUAAAGGGAGCGCAGACGGCAUGGCAAGCCAGAUGUGAAAUGCGGGGGCUCAACUCCUGAACUGCAUUUGGAACUGUCAAGCUAGAGUAUCGGAGAGGUAAGUGGAAUUCCUAGUGUAGCGGUGAAAUGCGUAGAGAUCAGGAAGAACACCGAUGGCGAAGGCAGCCUGCUGGGGACUCAUCGACGCUGAGGCUCGAAAGUGCGGGUAGCAAACAGGAUUAGAUACCCUGGUA